rnacentral:misc_RNA from 1 species
UUGGAUCGGAUGGUUAGCAUUCAACUCCACAAGGCAACUCGGCAUUCUUGUUUUUGAUUUUGUAGCGAAGAUCUGGAGUAGUGCCUGGUUCCGAGGUCAUGAGUUCAAUGAAUCAUUAGGAGGCUCCAGUGCACCUCAAUAGAAAGUGCAGAACGGUAGGCCGACUUUACUGUGGAUAUGUUGUUUUCUUAAAUUGGCCUAUUAUUCAAAUUCUAAUUCCUUUACACAUCUUGACUUGAACCUCUUGUUCAAGCAAGUCGAUAAGUAUACAGUGAAUUGGGAAAGGGAUACCUAGGAUAUCUGGGUCGGUCUUGCAUUGAGAGUGAUAAAACUGAGUGUCAAAAUGAGCCCACCAGGAGGAUCCUGGUCUAAAGGAGAUGAAGAAGAUGCCCAGCCUCCUGAAAAUAAGAAAGUUUCCGAAAAUGAAGUGGCUUUUAAGAUUAAUGGCAAAGAAUAUCGAGCAUCUGGAUUGCCAAUCUACAUAACUCUCAACACCUUCAUCAGAGAUCAUGCAAACCUGAAGGGAACCAAAUAUAUGUGCGAAGAAGGAGGAUGUGGGGCAUGCAUUGUUGCCGCUACUAUACCCAAUCCACAGACUGGCAAAUCAACAACUAUCGCUGUCAACUCUUGUUUAACUCCAAUUUACAACUGUCAUGGAUGGGCGGUUGAAACAGUCGAAGCUCUUGGAAGCUCAUCCAAAGGUUUUGGCAAAAUACAAAGUCGUUUGGCUUCGAAUAAUGGAACUCAGUGUGGAUACUGCAGUCCAGGCAUGGUCAUGAACAUGUAUAGCUUACUUCAAGAGAACAAGGGUAUUUCCAUGAGUGAAGUUGAAAAUUCAUUUGGAGGGAACAUUUGUAGAUGCACAGGCUAUAGACCAAUUUUGGAUUCAUUCAAGUCUCUUGCCAAGGAUGCUAGCAAAGAACUAGUGAAAAAAUGUGUUGACAUUGAGGAACUGUCAGUUAUUUGUCCAAGAACAAAGGAGGAAUGUCUAGCAUCAUGCGGCAAUUCAUGUGACAGAAGCAUUGAUCCACUACUGGAUGAAAGCAGACUCAAGUUAGAAACUAAUGAUGGUAAAAACUGGUAUCGGGUGAAAUCUGUCAAAGAGUUGUUUGAAAUACUUGAGAUGGUCGAUGAUGGAUCAUACAUGCUUGUUGGUGGAAACACGUCCUAUGGUGUGUAUCGUCCAACAAGAGAUAUUAAUCACUUCAUAGACAUCAAAGGGGUUCGUGAACUGAUCGUUACUAGUGAGAGCAAUGAUUCAUUGACUCUGGGAGCCAACUUAUCUCUAACCAACACCAUGAUUUUUUUCAAUUCAGUCUCUAAAUCUAAAAGUGAACUGUUUGGCUAUACGAAACAGAUGGCUGACCAUAUUGAUUUGAUAGCCAGUGUUCCGGUGCGAAAUACUGGUACAUUGGCAGGAAACUUAUCGAUAAAGCAUCAACACAGAGAUUUCCCUUCAGAUGUUUUUCUAAUCUUUGAAACUGUUGGUGCUCGGCUCAAUAUUGCUGACACCAUGGGCUUGGAAAGAACGUUACCAAUCGAAGAGUUUUUGAAAAAUGAUAUGAACAAGAAAGUUAUAAAGAGCAUUGCACUCCAACCACUCAGCAGUUCUUGGUAUACUUUCAAGACAUACAAGAUCAUGCCUAGGGCACAAAACGCUCAUGCCUAUGUUAAUGCCGGAUUCCUCUUCAAGUUGGAUAAGAACGAUAAGUUCAAAGUCUUAGAGAAACCUAGGAUUGUUUUUGGUGGAAUAAAUCCAAAUUUCGUUCAUGCAGAGCUCACUGAGGCUUUUCUUGAGGGAAAAUACCUUUCUGAUUCCAAAGUAAUGGCAGAAGCACUAAAAACGUUGGAUGGUGAAUUGAAACCCAAUCAUGUUCUUCCUGAUGCAACACCUGAAUACAGAAAAGGUCUAGCUGUUUCUCUGUUAUACAAGUUUAUUCUCAGCGUGUUAGGCCUACCAGAUGGAGUGUCACCAAACAUGAAAACUGGAGGUGCCAGUAUGAGUCGACCUGUUUCUACUGCCAGUCAGUCUUUUCAAACUGACAAGUCACUGUGGCCUCUCAACCAACCAAUCAACAAACUUGAAGCUUUCGCUCAAUGCUCAGGGGAAGCACAGUACGUUAAUGAUAUACCGAGUCACCCAGGCGAGUUGCAUGCUGCAGUGGUGAUUGCCAAACAAGCAACUGCCAAAUCAUUCAUAUUGAAUCCUGAAAAAGCACUUAGAAUGGAUGGUGUGGUCUCAUUUUUCACAGCCAAGGAUAUUCCUGGUAGAAAUGAUUGUAUGUCCCGGAUCAUGUUUCCAACAUUCGUGAAUGAAGAGAUUUUAGCUUCCGAGAAAAUAUUACAUGCUGGACAGGCUCUUGGUGUGAUUGUAGCGAAAUCGAGAGCAAUAGCUCUUAAGGCAGCUGAACAAGUAGAAGUCGUUUACAAAGAUGUAGCUCCUCCAGUUCUUGAUUUUAUUGAAGUCAUCAAAUCACAAGACAACAAACGAAUUGCAGAGAAAGACAAAAUCGAGAGGAAAACAAAGAAAGAUGAUGUGAAACACAAGGUUUCUGGAACAUUCGAAAUCGGUGCACAAUACCAUUACACAAUGGAGACUCAAACUUGCCUCUGUAUUCCAUUGGAAGAUGGAAUGGACGUCUAUCCAUCAACGCAAUGGCCAUCGAUGAUCCAGUGGACAGUCGCCGAUGUGCUCAAUGUGCAACAAAAUACGAUCAAUGUGAAAGUUAAACGAUUGGGUGGUGCUUAUGGCUCUAAAAUCAGCAGGAACAAUCAGAUUUCUGCUCUCUGCGCUCUGUGUGCCCACUUACUACAGCGUCCUGUCCGUUUAAAUUUGAGUUUGGAAACCAACAUGCAAAUGAUGGGAAAACGAUUUCCCUGCUAUAUCAAUUAUGAGGCUGCUGUCAAUAAUGAUGGGAAAAUACAGUAUUUGGAUGCAAAAUUGUAUCAAGACAUAGGUGCAAGAGAGAAUGAAAGUGAUAUUGUUUCAUCGACUUUGGCAUUCAUGCCAAGUACUUAUGAUACUGAAACUUGGUCUGUUACUGGAUAUUCAGUCAAGACUGACACACCUGCUAAUACUUGGUGUAGAUCUCCAGGAUCAACUGAAGGAGUGGCCAUGGUUGAGCACAUAAUGGAUCAUAUUGCCAGCAUUGUCAAGAAAGAUCCAGUGGCUGUGAGACUACAGAAUUUCAGAACCGAAGCAGAUCCUGUAAAACCGAUGAUAGAUGAGAUCAAGGCUUCCUCUGACUAUCAGAAAGCAGUUGCCGAAGUUGAAGAGUUCAAUAAUGAAAACAGAUGGAAGAAACAAGGGUUAUCGCUUGUACCAUUGGCUUACCCUCUAGGAUACUUUGGAAGAUAUCAUGCUAAUAUUUCAAUAUUUUCUGGCGAUGGAACAGUCGCUAUUUCUCAUGGUGGAGUAGAAUGUGGUCAAGGAAUCAACACAAAGGCCGCUCAAGUGUGUGCCCACAUUCUUGGUAUCCCAUUGGAUUUAGUGAAAGUGAAGUCGACUCAGUCUCUCAUCUCACCAAACGAUUCAACGACUGGAGGAAGUGUCACAAGUGAAGCAGUUUGUUAUGUCAGUUUGAUACAAUGCUGUGAAAAAGGGUUGUGAAGAGUUGAACUCUAGAUUGCAGCCUUAUAAAGAGAAAAUGCCAAAGGCGGAUUGGAAAACGAUGAUUCAGGCGGCUGUGAAUGGUGAUGUGGACCUCAAUUGCAAUUUCAUGUAUAAGCGGAAUAAAGAUCUAGAGUCUUACUUAAUUUUCGGCGUGACUGUCAUGAGGGUGGAAGUGGAUAUACUUACUGGACAACAUCAGAUUGUAAGGACUGAUAUAAUGGAAGAUGCAGGCCAAAGUAUGAGUCCUGAGGUAGAUGUUGGACAAGUGGAAGGCGCAUUUGUGAUGGGACUCGGAUACUAUCUUCAUGAACAACUUGUCUAUGACAAACAAACUGGAAAACUGCUUACCGAUAGAACAUGGAACUACAAACCUCCAGGCUCCAAGGAUAUUCCUGCAAAUUUUCAUGUAACUCUUGUGAAAAAUUCCCGAAAUCCUCUUGGUGUUCUUCGAUCGAAAGCCACUGGCGAGCCUCCUUUGAAUAUGAGUUUCAGCGUGGUUCUUGCAAUAAGGAAUGCUCUGAAAUCAGCAAGAAAGGAUUCUGGAAUACAAGAAGAUUGGUUCGAUUUGAAAAUGCCUCUGACUUGUGAGAAUAUAUGGCUGCAUGGAUCAACACAUGUCAAAGACAUGACACUAUAGAUCAUAUAUAUUCCAAAUAUAGUUUCAAUUAUUUAUGGGAUGGUGCUCGUUAAUUAACUUUGUGAUAAAUUUAUAAGUAUAUUAUCUAUUUUCUUAAUAGUUUUAUAGCCUACUAAUAUAUUAAAAAAUUUCAAUUAAAUUCAUAUUUUACACUACUGCAUUAAACGUAUUUAAUAAAGA